GAAAGAAAGAAAAGAAGAAAGAAAGAAAGAAAGGAAGGAAGGAAGAAAGGAAGGAAGAAAAGUGCCCCCCUUAUAGUCAUAUAACCAAAAACAAGUCCAGAUUUAAAUUCUCUACUUGAUGUUCCCUGUGUCUUCCAUCUGUAUAAGAAUCCUAAGGCUGGAAGGAAUGCCAGCUAUCAAGUAGACUAAUAUGGUUUGAUCAAGCAAGACCCCCGGAAGCAGUGACCCAACUGAUCCUACAUUCAAAACAGCUGGGACGAUACAGCCUUACAGACUACAAAAACAAGGACUUGAUUUAGUUUGUUGAGACAAGGUCCCAUGUGUUCCAGUCUGGCUCUGAACUUGCUACUUGACUGAGGCUGGCACUGAACUCCUGAUCUUCCUAAUCCAGUCUUUCAGGUAAUGAUGCUGCCACUCCCUUCUGAGGAACUCAGAAACAAUGGAAUUAUUGUGGCUCUUUCCUACUACCACCAUGCCUCAGACAGGGUUUCUCUGUGUAAUCCUGGCUGUCCUGGAACUCACUCUGUAGAUGAGGCUGGUCAUGAACUCAAAGAAAUCCACCUGUCUCUGUCAUCUGAGUGCUGGGAUUAAAGAAAGUCAUACACCACCACUGUCCAUUGUAUUUUUAUAAUCAGUGAUGCUGAACUAGUCCCAUGUGACUUUAAGACUUUGUAUUUCUUCAUUUUUGCAAAUUUAUCUACUCUAGACUAAGUGUUUUAUCAUCUACUUAUAUACUCUAUGGUUUGGAAUUUUACCUUUUCCUGCAAUAUUUGUAAACAUAAAAAUUUAAAAACUCAUUAAAUCUGUAACUUGUUCUUAUAAUAUUGACUAAAUUAUUUGUAGUAGUAACGUUAAAUUAUUAUCAAUGUCCCAAAGAAAUGACAUAUACAACCUCAAGGUUUUACACUAUAGCAUUUAAUCUAACACAAACAUUUUGGUAAAAAACAUCUACAUUAAAUAUCUUUUCCAAAUAGUUGACAUUUAUUGAAUAAUUUAUCUUCUCA
rnacentral:lncRNA from 1 species